rnacentral:rRNA from 1 species
GACGAACCGUGCGAACGUUGUUCGGAAUCACUGGGUUUAAAGGGCGCGUAGGCGGGCUGUCAAGUCGGUGGUGAAAUCUUUCGGCUCAACCGGAAAAUUGCCUUCGAUACUGGCGGCCUGGAGGGAGGUAGGGGCAUGCGGAACUUCCGGUGGAGCGGUGAAAUGCGUAGAUAUCGGAAGGAACACCGAUGGCGAAAGCAGCGUGCUGGACCUUUUCUGACGCUGAGGCGCGAAGGCCAGGGGAGCAAACGGG